GGUCCCUUUCGUCCAGUGGUUAGGACAUCGUCUUUUCAUGUCGAAGACACGGGUUCGAUUCCCGUAAGGGAUGGCUA